UGAGUAACACGUAAGUAAUCUACCCUCGAGUGGGGAAUAACGUCCGGAAACGGACGCUAAUACCGCAUGAUGCAGCGGCACCGCAAGGUGACAGUUGUUAAAGAUUUAUCGCUUGAGGAGGAGCUUGCGGCAGAUUAGCUAGUUGGUAAGGUAAUGGCUUACCAAGGCUACGAUCUGUAACCGGUCUAAGAGGACGGUCGGUCACACUGACACUGAAUAACGGGUCAG
rnacentral:rRNA from 1 species